AUUGAACGCUGGCGGCAUGCCUUACACAUGCAAGUCGAACGGUAACAGGUCUUCGGAUGCUGACGAGUGGCGAACGGGUGAGUAAUACAUCGGAACGUGCCUAGUAGUGGGGGAUAACUACUCGAAAGAGUGGCUAAUACCGCAUGAGAUCUACGGAUGAAAGCAGGGGAUCGCAAGACCUUGUGCUACUAGAGCGGCCGAUGGCAGAUUAGGUAGUUGGUGGGAUAAAAGCUUACCAAGCCGACGAUCUGUAGCUGGUCUGAGAGGACGACCAGCCACACUGGGACUGAGACACGGCCCAGACUCCUACGGGAGGCAGCAGUGGGGAACUUUGGACAAUGGGCGCAAGCCUGAUCCAGCAAUGCCGCGUGCAGGAUGAAGGCCUUCGGGUUGUAAACUGCUUUUGUACGGAACGAAAAGCCCUGGGUUAAUACCCUGGGGUCAUGACGGUACCGUAAGAAUAAGCACCGGCUAACUACGUGCCAGCCGCCGCCGUAAUAC
rnacentral:rRNA from 1 species